rnacentral:tRNA from 1 species
GCCGCGUUAGCUCAGUUGGUUAGAGCGCUUGAUUGUGGAUCAAGAGGUCCCCCGUUCAAACCGGGGACGUGGUACCA